rnacentral:rRNA from 1 species
CCUACGGGUGGUAGCAGUAGGGAAUAUUGCUCAAUGGGGGAAACCCUGAAGCAGCAACGCCGCGUGGAGGAUGACGGUUUUAGGAUUUUAAACUCCUUUUGUGAGAGGAGAUAAUGACGGUAUCUCACGAAUAAGCACCGGCUAACUCCGUUCCAGCCGCCGCGGUAAUACGGAGGGUGCAAGCGUUACUCGGAAUCACUGGGCGUAAAGAGUGUGCAGGUGGGCUGGUAAGUCGGAUGUGAAAGCCUGUAGCUUAACUGUAGAACUGCAAUUGAAACUAUGAGUCUAGAGUUCGGGAGAGGUAGGAGGAAUUCGUGGUGUAGCGGUAAAAUCCUUAGAUAUCACGAAGAACACUGAUUGCGAAGGCAACUUACUAAAACGCUACUGACGCUGAUGCACGAAAGCGUGGGGAUCAAACAGGAUUAGAUACCCGGGUAGUC